GGAAUAUUGGACAAUGGGGGCAACCCUGAUCCAGCGACGCCGCGUGGGUGAAGAAGGCCUGCGGGUUGUAAAGCCCUUUCGGUUGGGAAGAAAAGUUGCGACCUAACACGUUGUGACCUUGACGUAACCAACUAAAGAAGCACCGGCUAACUCUGUUCCAGCAGCCGCGGUAAUACAGAGGGUGCGAGCGUUAAUCGGAAUUACUGGGCGUAAAGCGCGCGUAGGCGGCUUUGUAAGUCGGUUGUGAAAUCCCCGGGCUCAACCUGGGAACUGCAUCCGAGACUGCAUGGCUAGAGUAUGGGAGAGGGAAGUGGAAUUUCAGGUGUAGCGGUGAAAUGCGUAGAUAUCUGAAGGAACAUCAGUGGCGAAAGCGACUUCCUGGACCAAUACUGACGCUCAUGUGCGAAAGCGUGGGGAGC
rnacentral:rRNA from 1 species